rnacentral:SRP_RNA from 1 species
GUCGGGCACGUGUCUGUAAGCGUCUGGGAGACGUAGGCUGAAGGGCUGCUUGAGCUCGGGGAUUCGGUGCUGCAGUGUGCUAUGUUGAAUAGGGGUCCUUCACACGGCCAACAUGAUGAGUUCCAGGGAGCAGGAGGUCACCAGGUUGUCUGAUGGGUGAACCAACCCAGGCUGGUAAAAAAAAAACACUCUGUGUUGGAAGGUGUGGGGACAGCCCCUGUGAAUAGAACCUGCAGUGUUCCCUGUGCAAGACAGCUGAAUGCAGCCUUUA